UCCAGGCAGAACAAUGGGGGUGGAGAUGUUGAGACAUUUUAGACUGUGCCUAGAUGUGUAUCUUGAGAGCUCUCCUCUGACUUCCUGAACCAUGUGACUUGACCUGUGUUUCAGCCAUGCAGGAAUUUUUGGAAUAAAGCCUUCAAGAACAAUCAAGCGUUCCAAGUACUGUGUCGAGGAGUGGCAGGUCAGACGGGAAUAAGCUUUGCCAAUCCCUUCAACAUCAAUGUUGACAGUGCACCACAUCACCUUCAAAUGGAAUUAAUAGAACUUCAGUGCAACAGCAGCCUGAAAGCGAAGUUCCAGGAUGCGACAGUCGACGACUUUUACCGUCUCCUCCCCCCUGCUUUGAUGCCACAGCUCCGACUUCAAGCUGCACGUGUUCUGUCCAUGUUUGGGAGCACCUAUCUAUGUGAACAGAUGUUUUCAGUCAUGAAUCUGAACAAGACCAAGCUCAGAUCACGCAUCACUGAUGAUAACCUCCAUGCUGUUUUGCGGAUUGCUACAGCACAAGACCUAACGCCAGACAUCGAUGGACUGACCUCAGGAAAACGAUGUCAGCCAUCUAGUCAGAAAAGUUAAAAAAAAGUUAAUGCCUUGUGUUUGCCAUAUGUGUAAUAAACAGUGUUUGGCAAUAUUUGUAUGUUUUAAAAAAAUUUUUACUGUCUGUUACCAAAAAUCAUUUUUCAAUAAAUUGUACAAUAAUUGUACAUUUGAAUAUC